UAAGUGUAGGAAGAGAAGGGAAAAGAAUUCAGAGAGAAUGUUCUGUGGCAGAGCAGCGAGUGGAUACCCAUUAAUAUUUUCGUUUGGGAAGUUUUUUUAUUCUGCAGAUCCCUUCCUAGAGGUGUACACUGAGAUUCGUGUAGGUGGCAGCAAAAGGAGGAUUCCCUGCAUCGGUGCUGCAUGUUCUCUUUGCUUCCAAAGUGUGUUCUGUGCUCCUGGAUAUUUCCAAACCCUCCUCUAGCCUCUGGACUCUGGCCUCAAACCAAGGAGAAUUCAGUAAUAUAUGUAGUUAAUUUGAAACCAAUUAUUUUUUCCAAGGUCAAUAAUGGGAAAACUGACUAUCAGCAAAUAACCCUCCUGAGAACACAAUUCUGAAGGGAUCCUGUGUUUCCCUUAACCAAACAAUGGUUUAGAAACUGACCAGAUGUUUGCCUACUCAACUUACCAAUCUACUCCAUGCUUUUCCUGUUUCUUCAAGCAGGCCUCACAAAACCUGAACUAAAAGUACUCAGCAGACACAAUGGCAUGCUUAUUCUGCUCAGACCAGGCUUAAUAGGGUGUGUGGCUUCUGAAUUUUAAGAAAAUCAAUGACAUUCAUAUUGCAUUUGCUAAAACAAAAGUUGGAACUCUUCUUUUUGGUUUCUGCGUUUGGGAAGAAAACGCCAAGUUUCACUAUCCACCCUUCAAUAAAAAAACAGUCAAAGAAAAAUGUUUCCUGUGAGUAUUGUAGAUCUUCCUUGAUCAGCCAAGGUUUACAUCAUGGACAAAUAUGCCCAUUUGUAUUCCAAAGAUGCAGACUCAGGAUGCGCCCAACCUAUUUCCCUACCACAACCUCAUCAUCCCCCGCUUCAGAUUCCUCUGUUCCCCAGGCACCACCCUGAUUCAUAAUCUCAAGAAAGUAGAUGCUUGAUAAUCUUGCAGACCUGCACUACAACUGUGUUCACUGUGGAUUUUCCAGCCCAAUUGAUUGCCUACUGUCUGCCUUGCUAACUUCUAGAGCAUGAAUGCUAUUUGCUUAUCUGUCAUCAGAGUGGCUCUCUCUUUGGUGUCUCUUUGAAGAAGGCCAGGACCAGCACCUCUUUGGCAUGCAAUUUCAUUUAUGUGGCUUUCUUCACUCUGAAUUUCUUCAUCCAGUGCUAGUCACACAAGACCUGCAAAACAGUUUCACCUCCUGGUGCAGUGGUUUUUAGGGCCAGAAACAUUAUUCCAUAGUGUUAUUAUUUCCAGCUCAUCAAAAUUAAAUCAUUAUUUUUCUAUCAUGACUCAUCAUUUUAGGACUUGGUUAAGUUCCAUGUAUACAAAAGAUAUGCAGAUGAGAAAUGCAAUGUACAUUACCUUUUACAGAUCUUGUGCUGAUGACAGUAAGUUGCAAAGCAUAGAUUUUUGUUAAAUAGGAAAAGAAAAUAAAAACUGUGCAACAGAGAAAUGUGUGAAACUGAUCCUAAUGCCUUGAAUGGAAAAAUUCUGCACAGAGGAGUGCAGUGCAAGUUAGCACAGGGUGACAUCACCUUUUGGUGUGGCUCCACCCUGAACAAUCACACUUGGUGAGGCUGGGCUGUGUCAGGCUGAGCAGCCCUGCAUGAGUGUACUCUGGUGUUGCAGUGUCAGCUGUUGCAGGCUGACAGCAGAGUUUUUCAUGGAGCCACAUCUAUAAACCCUGGGCUUGUCAGCUACCAACUCUGCUUUGACUCCGAGUCAGAUGCAGACAUCAGAACUGCAGACAUUUUCAGUUAGAUAAUGCAAAUUCCAGUGCUGAUGCUGCAAAGAUGGAAGACAAAUGGUUUCGGGUCAAUGUUCAGCUGGGGUCUUUCUUACUAUUUUUUAAAAUUUCUCUAAGAAACUUUUUAAUAUUUUCUCUCCAGUAAAGAUGCAUCAGUCCUUCAAUCCCUGAAACAGCAAGGCAUGACUUUUAUGCAGUUUUUCAUCCAGUAUAUGUGCAAAAUUCUUAGCAGUGUAAAUAAAUCAUAUUAAUAAAAUAAAUUAUUCCAUAGACUAUGAUUUAUUACAACAUAGUUUAUAGGGUUCCUGAAAAUUAGUAAUAAAACUGUUGCUAUGCCUGCACAGAUGGUUCAUUUCUCUGCUCACUCUUCCCAGACUGGACGUAUAGUUUCACUGCCACUUUUCCACUUACUUUUCCAGUAGAACAAGUAGAUCCUUUGGUGUACCUAGAAAAUUUAAUGAAUCCUUGUCUAAAAUAUGUUGGGUGAUUCAUACCCUAAACCUACCUGUUCUGCUACACCGACCACCAAGGGAAGCCCUGGCUGACUCAUCUUUGUUAUCAACAUCUGCACUGCAUAUGUAAAAGUUAAAUGAGGUUCAUUUUUCUGGUGGUAUCUGCAAUUGCUUCAGUCAGUUCCUAGCAAAACUGUCGUAUUUCAAAGAGCUCAGAUACAUGGUUUUUUGAAAGCCAGGAAAGCACUUGAAAGUCAUUUGACCAAAGGAAAAUACUGAUCAGCCUUUCCACAAAUCUUUUUGCCACAGAGCGAUGAAUGUCUUAAAACCGUCUACAAAGUAAAUGCACACAAACACAGGUGAGAAGAAUGCACCAACAGAAACAUGCAGAAAUCUGGAUCCAAUAAACUGAUGCAGAGGAAGUACACAGAACCUGGGCAGAACUGACUGAUGUUCUACAUAAAUAACACUUUCUAGUUUCCCAUGUAAAACCCAAUAUGGAACAUUUAGUAUCCCAACUACGCUAGGAAAUUAAACUGUGAAAAAGAAAAAAAUUAUCACUUUAGUGAUUCUGUCAAAUGGGAGAGGCUCGAGAGGUGGAACUGUGCAAACAUUGUGAAAUUUAACAAGGCCAAGUGCAAGGUCCUGCACUUGGAUUGGGGUGAUCCCAAACACAUAUACAGGCUGGGUGGAGAAUGGACUGAGAGCAGCCCUGAGGAGAAGGGCUUGGGGUGCUGGUGGAUGAGAAGCUGAGCGUGACCCAGCAACGUGUGCUCAGAGCCCAGAGCCAGCUCUGUCCUGGGCUCAUCCAAAGCAGCGUGGCCAGUAAAGAGAGGUGAUUCUGCCCUUCUGCUCUGCCCUCCUGAGACCCACCUGGAGCACUGCAUCCAGCUCUGGGGCCCCCAGCAUGAGAGGGAUGUGCACCUACAGGAGUGAGUCCAGAGGAGGCCACGAGGAGGAGAAGGAGAAGGAGAAGGAGAAGGAGAAGGAGAAGAAGGAGAAAGAAGGAGAAAGAAGGAGAAAGAAGGAGAAAGAAGGAGAAAGAAGGAGAAAGAAGGAGAAAGAAGGAGAAAGAAGGAGGCGGGGGAGGGGGAGGAAGAAAGGCUGGGAGAGCUGGGGUUAUUCAGCCUGGAAAAGAGAAGGUUCCAAAGACACAGACUAAAGGAGUCUGCAAGAGAGUUGGAGAGGCACUUUUUACAAGGGCCUGUAGUGAGAGGACAAGGAGGAACAGCUUCAAACUGAAAGAGGGUGGGUUUAGAUUAGUUAUUAGAAAGAAAUUCUUUAUUGGAGAGUGGUUAGGCACUGGAACAGGUUGUCCAGAGAAGUUGUGGAUGCCCCAUGCAACAUUCAAAGGGUGGAUGGGGCUUUGAGUAACCAGGUCCAGUGGAAGGUGUCCCUGCCACUGGCAGGGCACUGGAACUAGAUCAUCUUUAAGAUCCCUUCCAACUCAAACCAUGCUAUGAUUCUAUGAUUCUGUGUUAUAAGUUCCAAACACUAAGUUUAAAAAAAUCAAAUUCUUAUAAUUAAACUGAUGGUAUUGCUUAAGGUGUGUAUUUUCAUAACCAGGCAGCAUAUAUGCCACAACAUAAUUGCACACAGAGACUGAAAUCACUGGUGAGAGAUACCCUGUUGACCAAAUGACAGAAAGGCUCCUGCACCUGCAGUUAGCAAUGGGGGAAGAAGGUAGAGCACAUGGCAGCCUGAAUUCCUACUGAAAAAAUAAGCAGAAAAAAAAUCUGGCUUGACAAGAAGAUCAAGGAUGAGGAGAAAGGGCACAGUUCAUUUUCUUCUCUGGAACCCCUUCUCUGAAGGAACACAACAACAAGACAUCUCAAGCAACAGUUUCCAUGUACUUUUUAAUUGCCUAAAUGUAAGGGCUGACACAAGCUUUUAGAACACUGAAAAACUAAUACCAAUAAGAAACACCAGGAUUACUCAAUUCUCUUUU